rnacentral:tRNA from 1 species
GCCCUGGUAGCUUAACGGACAAAGCAGGCGCGUCCUAAGCGCAAGAUAUGUGUUCGAUUCACAUCCAGGGUA